UUCAGGUUCUGAAAAUCCUGGUGCGAGCUGUGAAUGAAGGGCUUGCUGAUUACAAAGGGGAUUCUGCAACAGUAUUAACAGGAAGACUACGGGAGCUGUUUGGUAGGGUGACUUCUAAAGUAACCAACGAUGCUGAGAUUUGGAAGUUGUACGCCAGGCUUUAUGGAAAUGGACAAACAGAGAAUUCAGAAGACAACGAGAAGGCACUGCAGUAUCUAGUUAAAGCCCAUCGUUGUGAAACUCAAUCCAGUGGCUGGGAGAAAGAUAUCGCAUCUUUCAAAGAAGUGUCAAAAGGAGCGAUAGAACUUGCACAUGUGUCAAUCAAAUGCAGUAAAGGCAAAACCAACCCUCAGGAAGCUCUGCAGAUACUAUCCUCAGCUCGCCUCAGUCUGCGUAGCCUGUCCAGUAAAGCACAGGUAGAACAUCACAUAACUGUUUUACAUUAACUGCUGAAUUCUCUUUGCCACUAUCAGAAAUUCGGUCCCUAUUGGAAGUCAUAUUCAACACUUGAGCUGCAAGACAUUGUAACCCAGAAAUGUAUUGAGUUAGGUACCAUCUGUAUUUAUCAUUAUUUUCAUAAGGAUAUAGUUUGCAGAAAAGGGCACUUUGUGUGCUGCUUUGUCAUAUAUAUCUGUUUUCGUGCCACAUUGAAACUUU